GGUGCAUGUUUAUUUAUUUAUGUGAUUAUAUUCGAUUUCGUAAUGGAGACUAAGGAAAAAUAGGAAAGGAGUGUGAUCAAAUAAACAGAUAGAAUGACAGCCUU
rnacentral:pre_miRNA from 1 species